AAAGUCUCUUUUUUCCUAAUUGGUAGGAAAGCAGAAGAAUUUGAAAUGUCUGAGCUAGACUCAUUUUUUUAGGGCUUAAAAUCUGAAUCCUCAGUGAACCUGGGGAAGAUAGAACGAUGAAGUCCUCAAGAGUUUUACUAGUGAUCCUGUGGCUUCAGUUAACCUGGAUGAGGAGUCAACAGAAGGGAGUGGAGCAGAGUCCCGGAUCUCUGAGCCUUCGGGAGGGAGACGCUGCCUCUCUCAACUGCAAUUACAGCGACAGUGCUUCCCAGUACUUCAUGUGGUACAGACAGUAUUCCGGGAAGGGCCCUGAGUUGCUGAUGUACAUGUACUCCAAAGGUAACAAGACGGAAGGAAGAUUUUCGGGACAGGUUGAUAGAGCAAAACAAUAUGUCUCCCUGCUCAUCAGAGACUCCCAGCCCAGCGACUCAGCCAUCUACCUCUGUGCAGUGAGCACACAGUACUUCCCUGGCACCUGCUGUCUGUACCCAAACCCUCUAGGAUCCCAGCACUGUCUUGAUAUAGAGCCUAAGCUGCAGGGUAGAGAAAUUCUCUUUGCUCUCUAGAUGCACACAGGAAUUAAAAGCAUUAGCCAUGGCCAUAAAAUGCCUUAUACCCACAGGUAGAGCAUGGGAGCACAGAAUGACUUCAGAUUUCCUGA